CACAUCAUGUUGAAACACCGGUUCUCAUACGAGCACCGAAGUUAAGCAACGUCGAGCCUGGUUAAUACGUAGAUGGGUGAACGUAUGUGAAUAUCAGGUGCU